rnacentral:rRNA from 1 species
UACAGAGGUCUCAAGCGUUUGUUCGGAUUCAUUGGGCGUAAAGGGUGCGUAGGUGGGCUGGUAAGUCAGUGGUGAAAUCUCCAGGCUUAACUUGGAAACUGCCAUGGAUACUAUUAGUCUUGAAUCUCGUGGAGGUAAGCGGAAUAUGUCAUGUAGCGGUGAAAUGCUUAGAUAUGACAUAGAACACCGAUAGCGAAGGCAGCUUGCUACACGAGUAUUGACACUGAGGCACGAAAAGCGUGGGGGAGCAAACAGG